rnacentral:rRNA from 1 species
GGUCAAGCUACUAAGGGCGCACGGUGGAUGCCUUGGCACCAAGUGCCGACGAAGGACGCAGCGAGCUGCGAUAAGCCUCGGGGAGCCGCAAGCAGGCGUCGAUCCGGGGAUUUCCGAAUGGGGCAACCCGGCGCGGGUAAUGCCGCGUCAUCCAUAGGUGAAUCCAUAGCCUAUGGAAGGGCACCGGGGGAACUGAAACAUCUCAGUACCCCGAGGAAAAGAGAUUCCCUGAGUAGUGGCGAGCGAAAGGGGAAAAGUCCAAACCACGUUCAUGCUAAAGCCUUUACGCGUUGUGGACGUGGGGUUGUGGGACCGGUUUCGGGUGAGGUAAAGCUCAUCCGGGGGAGCCGCAGGUCUAGCCGAAGACGGCUGGAACGCCGCGACAUAGAGGGUAAGAUCCCUGUAGGCGAAAGGCCGAGGGCCCCCUUAACCGGCACCCAAGUACCACGGGGCACGCUAACCCCGUGGGAAUCCGGGAGGUCCACCUCCUAAGACUAAAUACACUUGGUGACCGAUAGUGAACCAGUACCGUGAGGGAAAGGUGAAAAGCACCCCGGAAGGGGAGUGAAAUAGUCCCUGAAACCGUGCGCUUACAAGCAGUCGGAGGAUCGCAAGAUCUGACGGCGUGCCUAUUGAAGAAUGAACCGGCGAGUUACGGUGUGCAGCGAGGUUAAGCGCGAGGGCGCGGAGCCGCAGCGAAAGCGAGUCUGAAUAGGGCGCUAGUUGCACGUCGUAGACCCGAAACCGGGUGAGCUACCCAUGGCCAGGGUGAAGCGUGUCUAAACGCACGUGGAGGCCCGAACCUGUUAGCGUUGAAAAGCUAUAGGAUGAGCUGUGGGUAGGGGUGAAAUGCCAAUCGAACCCGGAGAUAGCUGGUUCUCCCCGAAAUAGCUUUAGGGCUAGCCUCAAGGGUUAGCAGGCGGAGGUAGAGCACUGAUUGGGCUAGGGGCCCGACAAGGUUACUGAACCCAUUCAAACUCCGAAUUCCGCCUUGCUGUACCUUGGGAGUCAGACUGCGGGGGCUAAGCUUCGCAGUCAAACAGGGAAACAGCCCUCACCGCCAGCUAAGGUCCCUAAGUACAGGCUAAGUGGAAAAGGAUGUGGAGAUGCCCAGACAACCAGGAUGUUGGCUUAGAAGCAGCCAUCAUUUAAAGAGUGCGUAAUAGCUCACUGGUCAAGUGUCUUUGCGCCGAAAAUGAGGCGGGGCUAAAGCCUGUCACCGAAGCUGCGGAUCCCGGCCAAGCCGGGGUGGUAGGGGAGCGUCCCACGAGCUGCGAAGGUGAGCCGGAAGGCCAGCUGGAGCGAGUGGGAGUGAGAAUGCCGGUAUGAGUAGCGAAAAGAGGGGUAAGAAUCCCCUCCGCCGUAAGCCUAAGGUUUCCUGAGCAAGGCUCGUCCUCUCAGGGUUAGUCGGGUCCUAAGCCGAGGCGUGAAGCGUAGGCGAUGGACAACCGGUUGAUAUUCCGGUACCACCGCAGGCCGUUAUGAGCAAUGGGGUGACGCAGGAGGGUAAGUCCAGCGGACCGUCGGUCGUGUCCGUCCAAGCCUGUAGGGAGUCGGGGUAGGCAAAUCCGCCCUGACGCAGUCCUGAGAGGUGAUGGGGAGGGAAACUGAGUACCGAACUGGACCCAACCAUGCUGCCAAGAAAAGCCUCUAGCCAGGCCGUAGGUGCCCGUACCGCAAACCGACACAGGUAGGCGGGGAGAAUAUCCUCAGGCGCGCGAGAGAACCCUCGUUAAGGAACUCGGCAAAAUAGCCCCGUAACUUCGGGAGAAGGGGUACCCGGCGCCGUGAAGGAUCACGCAUCCGGAGCGGUGCUGGGUGACACUAAAGAGGCCCAAGCGACUGUUUAACAAAAACACAGGUCCCUGCGAAGUGGAAACACAAAGUAUAGGGGCUGACGCCUGCCCGGUGCUGGAAGGUUAAGGGGAGAGGUUAGCGCAAGCGAAGCUUUGAACCGAAGCCCCAGUAAACGGCGGCCGUAACUAUAACGGUCCUAAGGUAGCGAAAUUCCUUGUCGGGUAAGUUCCGACCCGCACGAAUGGCGUAACGACUUGGGCGCUGUCUCGACGAGGGACUCGGUGAAAUUGAAAUACCUGUGAAGAUGCAGGUUACCCGCGACUGGACAGAAAGACCCCAUGGAGCUUUACUGUAGCCUGGCAUUGGAUUUUGGUGGCCACUGUACAGCAUAGGUGGGAGGCUUAGAAGCCAGGGCGCCAGCCUUGGUGGAGCCAACGGUGGGAUACCACCCUGUGGUUAUCGAAGUUCUAACCUUGGGCCCUGAUCGGGUCUGGGGACAGUGUCAGGCGGGCAGUUUGACUGGGGCGGUCGCCUCCCAAAAUGUAACGGAGGCGCCCAAAGGUUCCCUCAGAAUGGUUGGAAAUCAUUCGUUGAGUGCAAAGGCACAAGGGAGCUUGACUGCGAGAGCAACAACUCGAGCAGGGACGAAAGUCGGGCUUAGUGACCUACCGGUGCUGAGUGGAAAGGCCGGUAACAACGGACAAAAGUUACCCUGGGGAUAACAGGCUAAUCGCCCCCAAGAGUCCAUAUCGACGGGGCGGGUUGGCACCUCGAUGUCGGCUCACCACAUCCUGGGGCCGGAUAAGGUCCCAAGGGUUGGGCUGUUCGCCCAUUAAAGUUGGUACGUGAGCUGGGUUCAGAACGUCGUGAGACAGUUCGGUCCCUAUCCGUCGCGGGCGUAGGAAACUUGCGGGGAGCUGCUCCUAGUAUGAGAAGACCGGAGUGGACAGACCUCUAGUGUACCAGUUGUCCUGCCAAGGGCAAUCGCUGGGUAGCGAUGUCUGGAACGGAUAAGCGCUGAAAGCAUCUAAGCGCGAAGCCGGCCCCUAGAUGAGGUUUCCCACAGCCUAAGCUGGUAAGACCCCUUGUAGAUCACAAGGUAGAUAGGCCGGAGGUGUAAGCGGCGCAAGCCGUUGAGCUGACCGGUACUAAUCGGUCGAGGGCUUGAGCCU